CCAAGGAGAGUGUUCCCCCUCUGAUAAACGAGAUGGGAGAACUGGCUUCCUCAGACAUGGAAAAAGCUGAGGAACUCAAUAAGUGCUUUGUCUCAGUCUUCACUGGUGGUCAAGUUUCUUAUGUCUGUCAGGACCCUGAAUAACAAGGAGGG